ACUAGUCUUUGGUAAAAAUAAUUAAAGAGAAGGAUAUCUCCCAUCUGUAUACAGAUCUCCUUGAUUAGAGGGCUAUGUUGUGGUAUAGUCUUUUGGGCUUGUUAAGAUAGGUGCUAUAUUUAGCUUUUCAGCUUCUUUACCAUUUUGUGCCAUACACAUGUGUACAUGUGUAUCAACUCUUGAUACCAUGUGCCCUGGAUUCACCGUAUUGAGACAUAACUCUAC
rnacentral:lncRNA from 1 species